GACGAACGCUGGCGGCGUGCUUAACACAUGCGAGUCGAACGGAAAGGCCCUGCUUUUGUGGGGUGCUCGAGUGGCGAACGGGUGAGUAACACGUGAGUAACCUGCCCUUGACUUUGGGAUAACUUCAGGAAACUGGGGCUAAUACCGGAUAGGAGCUCCUGCUGCAUGGUGGGGGUUGGAAAGUUUCGGCGGUUGGGGAUGGACUCGCGGCUUAUCAGCUUGUUGGUGGGGUAGUGGCUUACCAAGGCGUUGACGGGUAGCCGGCCUGAGAGGGUGACCGGCCACAUUGGGACUGAGAUACGGCCCAGACUCCUACGGGAGGCAGCAGUGGGGAAUAUUGCACAAUGGGCGGAAGCCUGAUGCAGCAACGCCGCGUGCGGGAUGACGGCCUUCGGGUUGUAAACCGCUUUCGCCUGUGACGAAGCGUGAGUGACGGUAAUGGGUAAAGAAGCACCGGCUAACUACGUG
rnacentral:rRNA from 1 species